GUCACGAAGGAAAGCACCAAGACAGCGGUGCGGCUUUUGGUUUCCUUUCUCGUCGUUGGCCAGAAAGAGGGCUGAGCGAGGAAGAAGCGUGUCUUCGGGGUUGAAGAGACCGAAGGGGAGAAAGCGAGGAACAGCGAGCCGACUUUGAUCUCGGAGGGGGGGUGCAGCGAGGUGCUUCGUGGCUGCUCGCUCGGUUCCAGCAUCGAGGUGCGAAGGGCAAUCAGCGACCACUGGGUUUUUCGGCAGUGGAGCUCGACGUACAAGAAGAAUGGUGCGAUGGACGAAAGGGGAAAAAGAUUCAAGGAUUUUCAGAUCGAGGGUUUGGUGUGGCUGUUCUUGGCUGCUCUUCUUCUGGUUCGAUUGGAAGUAAACGCGAUGGAAAUGGGAGACAGUUGGAUUGAAGGGUAAGGACAAAGCAGCAAACGGAAACGGAAGAACGAAAAAUGGGCUGCGAUAGUGGCUAACAGAUCCCGAAAAAAAAAACGAAUGGGAAGAUUUGUCUGGCAGGGAAGAAAUCGAUGAAGUGUAAGAAGAUUGUUUUAUUCUUGAUUUUUGACUGGGAAGUGAAGGAGAAGAAGGGUGGAGUGUUAGAUUGAGGGUUGAGUGGGGAAGAAGGUAAAUGUGACUGAAGCAACACUUUAGAUGAUUUUUAUUUGAUUGUAAUUGUAUAGAUUGUGGGUUGUAUUUGAUAGUUUAAUUAGUUAAAGGAUGUGUGCAAGCAGUCUUCAAUUUGACAGUCAAAGAAUUGCAAGUUACUUGGCUGUCAAAUUCUUUGUAUUUGGUAGUUUAAAAAAAAUGAAUUUGGUGGUAUAAUGUUGUAUA